CGCAACGAUUGGGGCCAUGGAAAUGGAUGUAAAGUUAAAUUUUAGGUGCCUAGGCUGGACGAUAUUUGGAGAUAUGUUUUUCAGGUAGGCUAUUCUGAAGGUACAUUUGUAGCAGCUAAUAUUAAGGCCGUCGUAGCUGGGAUGCCGUGGUUUUGGGUUCUUCAAGUUUGCGAUUAAUCUUGAGAUACAUUUGUAGCAGCUAAUAUUAAGGCCGUCGUAGCUGGGAUGCCGUGGUUUUGAGUUCUUCAAGUUGACAAUUAGAUAAGUAUUAAGUUUACACAUAUAUUUCCCUGGAAGGAAGUUUGUAAGAGCAGCAAAGUAUCCUGAUCGACGCGGAGGCAGCUUAGAUGGCCCGUAUUUUGCGGUGCAGCGAUGUGUGAAGAUUGCAGCGGUGUUGAAGGAUUAUUCAAAGGACUGUGCGGCAAGAAAAUUCAGGAUUUGAUUUUAUUCGCAUCGCAUCGUCAGGGUCAGCUGGAGUGCAUUGUCGUUGGCUUUUUAAUCCGGAUGCGUUGAGGAUUUUACGUUUAGCAUGAAGGAGGGAUGCUAACUAUGGAGAAGAAGAUAUGUAUCACUGUUGUCAAGAGAGAAGCAGGUCGACGUGCGUCUUUCCGUCUGUCACAGUUUGUAGUUUGUAUAUUAAUUAAUUAGGAAUUAAUUAAUAUACAUGUAUUUUUGGUUUUAA